AGCCUUCUGUAUUCGUGCUGAGAUUUCGUCAGUGAUCAACUCGUUGGAGUUGAUGCGACUUCUCAAAUAAGUGAAGUG
rnacentral:pre_miRNA from 1 species